rnacentral:rRNA from 1 species
AGCAUGCCGCGGUGAAUACGUUCCCGGGCCUUGUACACACCGCCCGUCACACCAUGAGAGUCGGGAACACCCGAAGUCCGUAGCCUAACCGCAAGGGGGCGCGGCCGAAGGUGGGUUCGAUAAUUGGGGUGAAGUCGUAACAAGGUAGC